rnacentral:lncRNA from 1 species
CUUAGGGCCUUUCUGAGCUGCAGUGUGGCCCUGGGUCUGUGACACUGUGCUGAAGAGUGGUCCUCUGGGACGGGAUAUGUCAACUUUGGUCACUGCACCCAUGCCUCGUGUCCGUUUCUUUACGGGCUCCAAGGCAUCCUCCAUCUGGUCAGGACCUCUCUUGAGCCUGCUUGCUGACGGGAGGAGAACUUGACCAGGCUUGUCUUCAGCUCUACAUUCCUCUUCACUUCCAACAAAGGUGGCCUCUGCGCCUGCACGUCCAUGGUGGUCCGCACAGGACAAAGGCAGCAGGCAGGGUGCCGGUGUCCCGAGACUCACAUCCUCUCAAGGGCUCGCACUGCAAAACGCCGGAGCCAGGCCGUCCAGGAGCCAGGCUAAUCUGCCACACUAAUCCGCCAUACUUGCCACUUUUGAAUUUCUGUUCUUUCUUUUCGACACAAGAUCUUACUAUGUAGCCCCGCCUGGCUUUUUAGUACAAAAUAAUUGUUAAGCCAAAGUGGCAAAUUUUGGGUGUUACAUUCUUUCUACCUUUACCAGAUUUUGUUAAUGUACUUAACUACUGAUGAACACUCUUCCUCCUCCUCCUCCUCUUUGUAAAUACUUUCAAAGUGGUCCAUCAAGACGCCCUCCUGCCCUACGCCCCCAAGAAAAAGAAUAAUGGUGUCUCCAAAAGGAGUCCUUCUGGGUACAAUUUGUCUGUUGUUAACAACACAAUAUUAUUAUGCCUUGAAAGCAAAAUAAAUCAUCAACAGAAAAAUGAUAAUUCAAUGAGAAAGGUAUCACGAUACAGUUCUAGGGGCUCUGCCUCUAAAGGCAGCUGAGCAGUGAUCUUGAUUAGUAGCUCAUUUUCAGCAUGCUAGUGUGGAACCAGGAGCUUUGGCAAGAAGAUAUUUGAUUUUGAAAAAAAUUUUUUCUUUCAUUUUUUUAUUA